GUCGGCGACACUUCACUAUAAAAGCGACAAGAAAAGGGGUUUCUAUCGGCCUCCAGCAGCUACGAUGGUUGUAGGCCGGCGGAAACUACUUGCUCUUGUCGCUAACGAUC
rnacentral:pre_miRNA from 1 species